GAAAAAUAUGAGUACCCUCCAACAAAAAGGUGCUACGUCUUUAAUGGAGAUGAAAAUGGGACACCCGAAGUGAUGCACUUUCCUCAGUUCAAUACCCAGACUUGUGGAGAUGCCGGAAAAAUGAGGAAAUUAAUUAAGAAGUAUGACACACGUUUUUGUACCUAUGAUGAAUCCAUGAUGGAAGAACUGCUGGACAUCGCUAAGAAAAAUGUGAAGGGCAGCGAGGAGCAGAUACUGGUCAAAAUACAACAAUGUGUUGGGAGGAGUAAUAAGCGGGGGCUGUCCCAGACAUAACGGGCGAGGACGAAUGAAAAUACCGGCAACUUGGAUAAAAUACAACGAGGGCUCAAAAGUCAAUCUUCUUGUGCAGAGUGGCCGGCCGUGUUCCACCACUCGUUGUGUACCGCUCUUCUGUAAUGGUGGUCCGAGAACCCCACUGGUCCCCUUGGGAUGUCACCCUUGAUCUUUAGUUGUUUUCUUAUUCAUGAAACAUUCUUUCUCUUCUCUUCGCUAUUUUAAGAGUUGUACCCAGAAUUUGCUCAUUGGUUUAUUUUUCAUGUUCUUUUUCGUAAAAUUUUUGAACAGUAAAAACUUCUAAUGAUCUGA